rnacentral:piRNA from 1 species
UGGAAACCUCUAAAACUUGCUGUUCGUGUC